UACAGAGGUCUCAAGCGUUGUCCGGAUUUAUUGGGCGUAAAGAGCUCGUAGGCGGCUUGUCGCGUCAGCUGUGAAAACCCGCGGCUUAACCGUGGGCCUGCAGCUGAUACGGGCAAGCUAGAGUUCGGUAGGGGAGACUGGAAUUCCUGGUGUAGCGGUGAAAUGCGCAGAUAUCAGGAGGAACACCGGUGGCGAAGGCGGGUCUCUGGGCCGAUACUGACGCUGAGGAGCGAAAGCGUGGGGAGCGAACAGG
rnacentral:rRNA from 1 species